rnacentral:tRNA from 1 species
AGGUCCGUAGCUCAAUUGGUAGAGCACCGGUCUCCAAAACCGGGGGUUGGGGGUUCAAUUCCCUCCGGGCCUG